AGUCAACGCUGGCGGCGUGCCUAAUACAUGCAAGUCGAGCGCAGAAAGUCGACGGAACCCUUCGGGGGGAAGUCAACGGAAUGAGCGGCGGACGGGUGAGUAACACGUAAAGAACCUGCCCUCAGGUCUGGGAUAACCACGAGAAAUCGGGGCUAAUACCGGAUGGGUCAUCGGACCGCAUGGUCCGAGGAUGAAAGGCGCUUCGGCGUCGCCCGGGGAUGGCUUUGCGGUGCCUUAGCUAGUUGGUGGGGUAAUGGCCCACCAAGGCGACGAUGCAUAGCCGACCUGAGAGGGUGAUCGGCCACACUGGGACUGAGACACGGCCCAGACUCCUACGGGAGGCAGCAGUAGGGAAUCUUCCACAAUGGACGAAAGUCUGAUGGAGCAACGCCGCGUGAACGAUGAAGGCCUUCGGGUCGUAAAGUUCUGUUGUAAGGGAAGAACGAGUGCCGCAGGCAAUGGCGGCACCUUGACGGUACCUUGCGAGAAAGCCACGGCUAACUACGUGCCAGCCGCCGCAGUAAAAC
rnacentral:rRNA from 1 species